GACUGUGUCAUGUUACAGCCACAAAGAGGCAGAUAGGAGCCUCCCUCCCUUGGAGAAGAUGCCUACUAGGAGAGGGGUGUGGGGUUUUUUGGUUUUGUUUUGUUUUUUUACCUCUUUCUAGGAGGGACUGGCAGGAUUAGGCAAACGGCGGGAGGGAAAACAAAAAGGGCUAGUGGAAAGGGCAGGGGGUGGAUGGUCGCCCCUCAUCAGGCAGAUGGCCACAGCGCGGGUGGGGCGCCGAGCAAGGGAUGCAGGAGCAGAAGGAAAAUGAAAAGCAGGAAAACUCAGGCCCUACUCUUUUUUCUUCCUAGCAAUUACUUUUAUGGGCAGAAGACUAUAGAUUCGUUCGCUCUGUUUCUCCCUCCCACUGGACCGGUGGUUUUGCCCCCGCAAGGGGACAUUUAGCAAUGCCUAGGGACAUUUUGGGUUGUCUCCAUUUUGGGUUGUAAGAUCUUUCAGGGAAGUGGGG
rnacentral:lncRNA from 10 species